rnacentral:rRNA from 1 species
GCAGAUAUCAGGAGGAACACCGAUGGCGAAGGCAGGUCUCUGGGCUGUAACUGACGCUGAGGAGCGAAAGCAUGGGGAGCGAACAGGAUUAGAUACCCUGGUAGUCCAUGCCGUAAACGUUGGGCACUAGGUGUGGGGGACAUUCCACGUUUUCCGCGCCGUAGCUAACGCAUUAAGUGCCCCGCCUGGGGAGUACGGCCGCAAGGCUAAAACUCAAAGGAAUUGACGGGGGCCCGCACAAGCGGCGGAGCAUGCGGAUUAAUUCGAUGCAACGCGAAGAACCUUACCAAGGCUUGACAUGAACCGGAAAGACCUGGAAACAGGUGCCCCGCUUGCGGUCGGUUUACAGGUGGUGCAUGGUUGUCGUCAGCUCGUGUCGUGAGAUGUUGGGUUAAGUCCCGCAACGAGCGCAACCCUCGUUCUAUGUUGCCAGCGCGUUAUGGCGGGGACUCAUAGGAGACUGCCGGGGUCAACUCGGAGGAAGGUGGGGACGACGUCAAAUCAUCAUGCCCCUUAUGUCUUGGGCUUCACGCAUGCUACAAUGGCCGGUACAAAGGGUUGCGAUACUGUGAGGUGGAGCUAAUCCCAAAAAGCCGGUCUCAGUUCGGAUUGGGGUCUGCAACUCGACCCCAUGAAGUCGGAGUCGCUAGUAAUCGCAGAUCAGCAACGCUGCGGUGAAUACGUUCCCGGGCCUUGUACACACCGCCCGUCAAGUCACGAAAGUUGGUAACACCCGAAGCCGGUGGCCUAACCCUUGUGGGGGGAGCCGUCGAAGGUGGGACCGGCGAUUGGGACUAAGU